AAGGCUGAAACUUAAAGGAAUUGACGGAAGGGCACACCAGGAGUGGAGCCUGCGGCUUAAUUUGACUCAACACGGGAAAACUUACCAAGACCGAACAUUAGAGGGAAUGACAGAUUAAGGGUUCUUUCAUGAUUUAGAGGGGAGUGGUGCAUGGCCGUUCUUAGUUCGUGGAGUAAUUCGUCAGGUUAAUUCCGGUAACGAACGAGACUGAAACCUAUUUAUUAGUAUUCUCCCUGUUAGGGAGAAUCGUAUGUGUAAGCAUACGCAAGAAACAUUGAUUUCUUAAAGGGACACGUUUUGAUAGAUUACUCUCGAGUUGGCAACCACAGAAAAUGUGGUACUGACCCAGGAGUCGUUUAAAGAAAGGGAAGCGUUCAGCAAUAACAGGUCUGUGAUGCCCUUAGACAUCUUGGGCCGCACGCGCGCUACAAUGGAAAAGGAAAAGAGUACAGUUGGAAGAUUACUUUUAUUGGGACGUUGUUUCGAUAAGAAUGAUACUAUUUGACUGACCGAUAUUGAAAAGUGGAGGGAAACUCAAAUCUUUGCACAUGACUGGGAUAGACGAUUGGAAUUAUUUGUCUUGAACGAGGAAUUCCUUGUAAUAUCAUGUCACUAGCAUGAGAUGAAUACGUCCCUGCCCUUUGUACACACCGCCCGUCGCUCCUACCGAUUGAAUAAAGAGGUGAAAUUCUAAGACAUCAAUCAGAAAUGAAUGAGGAAAUGGAUUUAAACCUCCUUAUUUAGAGGAAGGAGAAGUCGUAACAAGGUUUUC
rnacentral:rRNA from 1 species